rnacentral:tRNA from 1 species
AGAGGCAUAGCUCAGAGGGAGAGCGCAUGCUUAUUUAGCAUGCAUGAAGUCCUGGGUUCAAUCCCCAGUACCUCCA